rnacentral:rRNA from 1 species
AUUGAACGCUGGCGGCAGGCCUAACACAUGCAAGUCGAGCGGAGCGGCGGACGGGUGAGUAAUGCCUAGGAAUCUGCCUGGUAGUGGGGGAUAACGUCCGGAAACGGGCGCUAAUACCGCAUACUAUCAGAUGAGCCUAGGUCGGAUUAGCUAGUUGGUGGGGUAAAGGCCUACCAAGGCGACGAUCCGUAACUGGUCUGAGAGGAUGAUCAGUCACACUGGAACCGAGACAAGGUCCAAACGUCUACCGGGGGCAGCAGGGGGGAAUAUUGGGCAAAUGGUGAAAGCCCUAUCCAGCCAUGCCGCGUGUGUGAAGAAGGUCUUCGGAAUGUAAAGCACUUUAAGUUGGGAGGCGUUACCAACAGAAUAAGCACCGGCUAACUUCGUGCCAGCAGCCGCGGUAAUU